rnacentral:lncRNA from 1 species
CAAAAAAUGGCCAAGCUCAUCUCCACCGCCGCCGCCCUCUUCCUCCUCUUCGCCUUCUCCCACGCCCGCACGCCGUCCGAUCUCCCCAACGGCCUCGAUGUAAUCGCAGAUAACAAGAUCCCCGUAACCGACGCCGCAGAUAAGAUCCCCGUAACCGACGCCGAUGUUAAAGCCACCACCACAACAGACAACACUCUCCGUUUACCGAGCGAGAGACCCGGAUCCGAAACCGUUGUGGAAUCGGAGCCCGCGACCUUCGCGGAGGA